rnacentral:lncRNA from 1 species
UUUAUAAGCUUUAAUAUACUCCUUGGCGGAGUGACCCCUGAAAUUAAACAUUAUUACAGAGCGGAUAUUUAAAAAGCUGGGGCCGCAAAUUACAUCAAAAUGAAAAUAUUAAGGAGUAUUACGAAUAUACCAAGUGGGAGCUCACGGCUCGGGAAGCUGUGAGCGCCGGAGAACUCCACACGCGGGUGUCAAAAGCAUCAGAAAAAAUAAUAACAGCAGAGACACCUUGACUUCGCUUAUUUUAUACUUAGGACUAAACGAAAUUAUUUGAAUGGAUUUUUUUUUCCUCCUGUAGGCUAGCUUUCCAGGAGGGGGAAAAAAACCCAUUAUUCUCAACUUUAGGUUCCUAAUACAUUUCACGCUUGGUUUAAAGAGGCACCUUCUCCUUCUCUCUCUCUCUCUUUUUUUUCUUUUUUCCUGGUGCAUGGGUAAAUAAAAGAAAUACCUAAAUAUAAUGAAACUAAAGAUCAUGCUAAGAAAAAAGUGAGCAAACACGACUAGAAAGAGCCCCUGGAUUCAAUUUCCCCUGCGGCUGGCACUCUGAUGGACAGCUCCUGGCAACCUCAGGGCUGCUGGAGACCUGGGGAGGGUGGGAUAGAGAGGGGGUCCCCAGCCCAAUGCAGGGCUGUGGCAGCUCCCAGAUGGGGACCAGGGGAUGCUAUGGAACACAGCAUGGUCUCCUAGAGCCUCACACAGGGUGUCCUUUAGCCUGAUGGUGGGGGCUGGGCUUGGGGACCCCUGAUGCUGGCCAACUGUCCUUCUGGGCUGGAAGCUUCCUGAGGGCAGGGAACGCUUGCAGCUGUAUUCUCAACAGGAAUCCCACAACUUGACAAAUAUAUAGUUCUUAGAUGAAUGAAUGAGUUGGUGCAAAAGCACAAAUGGCUUACCUAUUCUCAUCCCCCCCCCCCCCCCCCCAGCCCACAGAGGAGUACCUUGGCUCCCUGGACUGCAGAGAACACCUGAGGAAGCUUUCCAAGCUGUCAUCCUUCAAUGUUUAUUUGAGGCUGUAUCACUAAUUUGGAAAUUAUACUUGGAAGUUAUUCCAGCUUGUUUCAGAUGAGCACAGAGACGCAGAAGCCCAGGACUGAAAACGACAGAGUCAUCAGAUGAGAAGGAUGCAGGAAAGGGAGCCACUGGCAAAGGAAGUGGCCCCUGGCCACACUAAAACGCCUCGCUUUUGGACUUCAGGGGAAUGGGAAAUCCCCUUAGGUGACACCUCUAGGAUCAGGGGCUUUAUGCUCCAGCAGCUCAUUCCUUGAACUAAUACAGAACUUGCUGUCAGACGUGGGGGAUGUUGCUGUGACAGAAGCCUAAAAUUCACAAUAGCAGCUUGGGGUUCAGGCGGCCGGCAGCAAGGACACUGGCUUUAGAGCCUGGAAAUACGGAAACCUAGGAUAUUCGAGAGCAAACGGGUGACACUGUCACCUCUG